UUCUCCAUGUUUACAUACGUUUCCAGGGGCUUUUAUUUGAAGCAUUUCUUGUCUGUGUCACUUCCGCUUUCUUCCUGUAGGUGUCACUUCCGCUUCCUUUUUGACUUGCGUUAACGCGUGGUAACUUGUUCUCUCUGCUACGUUCAAUCGGUGCUCCAGUCCUCGACCUUAUACUAACCUAACCGAAAGUACCACUGUGUAUACUCCAAUAUGCACCAUCAAAGUUGACGAGUCCAACUGAUGACCGUGUGUUCUCUGACCGGAACACCAACGUGGGGUCGAGGAUCGCGGGAGGCAGUUCAAAGUCCAGAGGGAAGUCGAGGCACACAGCUUGAUCACGGGACACACGAGAAGUACUGCGGGAAAACACAAGGGACAUAAGACACAAGAACUGGGAAGACACAGAGAAAGAUCAAGUACGCGGGAGGGAAACCAGAGACGGGAUGCUUACUACGGGGAGUUAACUACGUUCCGGCGCAGGAUCUUCGGGUCUGCUGGUCUUUAUACUGCUCACCUUCAUCAGUCCCAGGUGCGCUGACUGGUGAUCGCCUGCAGCCUUUCCGGCGUGUGGCCGUGAUGCAGAUGACAUGCGGGAUUGAGCACGCGCCGUGACAAAAUAGACUUCAAAAACACACAUAGUUGUACAUCUAAUAUUAACAACAAUAUUUAUAUUAUAUUAAUUCAUAUAUUUAUAUAUUACAUGACUAAACAUUUGGUUUGCGUUUUAAUUGAUUUAUGAAUAUUUCACUAAUAAUUUAAUAUUAAAAUAUUGUUUAAUCAACACACCU